CGUACAGAUAAGCCCAGGCUAUNUCUGUANANCAUCGCAGUAAAGAGAGGUACNANUGUUAUGUGAUUUGAGGAGUAACCGCGCUAGGUGUUUGUUAANUNGAUGAAANNNCGAGUCUCACCUGGGACUGCAUCCAAAGCGGCAAGCUAGANGCGUUAGAGCGUNGNGAAUUUCCUNNGAUCGGUGAGAUAGUAGAUAUAGGAAGGAACNCCAGUGGCGAAGUGUUCCACCUGGAUUGAUCCUGACGCUGAGGUGCGAAAGUGUGGGGAGCAAUCAGGAUUAGAUCCCUUGGUAGUCCACGCCGUAAACGAUGUCACGUAGCUGUUGGAAUCCUUGAGAUUUUAGUGGCGCAUCUACCGCAUUAAGUUGNNCCCGUGGGGAGUCCGUCCGCAAGGUUAAAACUCAAAUGAAUUGAUCGGGGCCCCGCACAAGCGGUGGAGCAUGUGGUUUAAUUGGAAGCACGGUGAAGACCUUUACCAGCCCUUGCCAUGCAGAGACUUUUCCAGAGAUGGAUGGGUCCUUUUGGGACUUCUGCCUCAGGUCAUCCAGGUAUUUGGUCAGUUCGUUUCGUGAGAUGUUGGGUUAAUUCCCGUACCGAGCGCAUCCUUUGUCCUUAGUUCCCAGCACGUUAUGGUGGGCACUCUAAGGAGACUANUCGGUGACAACCCGGAGGAAGGUGGGGAUGACGUCAAGUCAUCAUGCCCCUUACGCCCUGGGCUACACACGUCGCUCCAAUGGUCGGUACAGAGGGUUGCCAAGCCGCGAGGUGGAGCUAAUCUCACAAAACCGAUCGUAGUCCGGAUCGCAGUCUGCAACUCGACUGCGUGAAGUCGGAAUCGCUAGUAAUCGCGAAUCAGAAUGUCGCGGUGAAUCCGUUCCCGGCCCUUGUACACUCCGCCC
rnacentral:rRNA from 1 species